rnacentral:rRNA from 1 species
GAGAGUUUGAUCCUGGCUCAGGAUGAACGCUAGCUACAGGCUUAACACAUGCAAGUCGAGGGGCAGCAUGGUCUUAGCUUGCUAAGGCCGAUGGCGACCGGCGCACGGGUGAGUAACGCGUAUCCAACCUGCCUUACACUCUUGGACAGCCUUCUGAAAGGGAGAUUAAUACAAGAUGUUAUCAUGAGUAAGCAUUUUCACAUGAUUAAAGGUUUACCGGUGUAAGAUGGGGAUGCGUUCCAUUAGAUAGUAGGCGGGGUAACGGCCCACCUAGUCUUCGAUGGAUAGGGGUUCUGAGAGGAAGGUCCCCCACAUUGGAACUGAGACACGGUCCAAACUCCUACGGGAGGCGGCAGUGAGGAAUAUUGGUCAAUGGACGAGAGUCUGAACCAGCCAAGUAGCGUGAAGGAUGAAGGUUCUAUGGAUUGUAAACUUCUUUUAUACGGGAAUAAACGAAUCCACGUGUGGAUUUUUGCAUGUACCGUAUGAAUAAGGAUCGGCUAACUCCGUGCCAGCAGCCGCGGUAAUACGGAGGAUCCGAGCGUUAUCCGGAUUUAUUGGGUUUAAAGGGAGCGUAGAUGGGUUGUUAAGUCAGUUGUGAAAGUUUGCGGCUCAACCGUAAAAUUGCAAUUGAUACUGGCAGUCUUGAGUACAGUUGAGGUAGGCGGAAUUCGUGGUGUAGCGGUGAAAUGCUUAGAUAUCACGAAGAACUCCGAUUGCGAAGGCAGCUUACUAACCUGUAACUGACAUUGAUGCUCGAAAGUGUGGGUAUCAAACAGGAUUAGAUACCCUGGUAGUCCACACGGUAAACGAUGAAUACUCGCUGUAGGCGAUAUACAGUCUGCGGCCAAGCGAAAGCAUUAAGUAUUCCACCUGGGGAGUACGCCGGCAACGGUGAAACUCAAAGGAAUUGACGGGGGCCCGCACAAGCGGAGGAACAUGUGGUUUAAUUCGAUGAUACGCGAGGAACCUUACCUGGGCUUAAAUUGCAACCGAAUAUGGCGGAAACGCUAUAGCUAGCAAUAGCGGUUGUGAAGGUGCUGCAUGGUUGUCGUCAGCUCGUGCCGUGAGGUGUCGGCUUAAGUGCCAUAACGAGCGCAACCCUUGCCGAUAGUUACUAACAGGUUAUGCUGAGGACUCUGUCGGGACUGCCAUCGUAAGAUGUGAGGAAGGUGGGGAUGACGUCAAAUCAGCACGGCCCUUACGUCCGGGGCUACACACGUGUUACAAUGGGGGGUACAGAGGGCUGCUACCACGCAAGUGGAUGCCAAUCCCAAAAACCUCUCUCAGUUCGGAUUGAAGUCUGCAACUCGACUUCAUGAAGCUGGAUUCGCUAGUAAUCGCGCAUCAGCCACGGCGCGGUGAAUACGUUCCCGGGCCUUGUACACACCGCCCGUCAAGCCAUGGGAGCCGGGGGUACCUGAAGUGCGUAACCGCAAGGAGCGCCCUAGGGUAAAACUGGUGACUGGGGCUAAGUCGUAACAAGGUAGCCG